GACGAACGCUGGCGGCGUGCUUAACACAUGCAAGUCGAACGGAAAGGCCCUGCUUUUGUGGGGUGCUCGAGUGGCGAACGGGUGAGUAACACGUGAGUAACCUGCCCUUGACUUUGGGAUAACUUCAGGAAACUGGGGCUAAUACCGGAUAGGAGCUCCUGCUGCAUGGUGGGGGUUGGAAAGUUUCGGCGGUUGGGGAUGGACUCGCGGCUUAUCAGCUUGUUGGUGGGGUAGUGGCUUACCAAGGCUUUGACGGGUAGCCGGCCUGAGAGGGUGACCGGCCACAUGGGGACUAAGGUACGGACCAGACUGCUACGGGAGGCAACAGUGGGGAAUAUUGCACAGUGGGCGGAAGCGUGAUGCAACAACGCCGCGUGCGGGAUGACGGCCUUCGGGUUGAGAACCGCUUUCGGCUGUGACGAAGAGUGAGUGACGGUAAUGGGUAAAGAAGCACCGGCUAACUACGUG
rnacentral:rRNA from 1 species